GGCAGCAGUAGGGAAUCUUCCGCAAUGGACGAAAGUCUGACGGAGCAACGCCGCGUGAGUGAAGAAGGUUUUCGGAUCGUAAAACUCUGUUGUCAGAGAAGAACAAGUUGGAGAGUAACUGCUCCAGCCUUGACGGUAUCUGACCAGAAAGCCACGGCUAACUACGUGCCAGCAGCCGCGGUAAUACGUAGGUGGCAAGCGUUGUCCGGAUUUAUUGGGCGUAAAGCGAGCGCAGGCGGUUCCUUAAGUCUGAUGUGAAAGCCCACGGCUCAACCGUGGAAGGUCAUUGGAAACUGGGGAACUUGAGUGCAGAAGAGGAAAGUGGAAUUCCAUGUGUAGCGGUGAAAUGCGUCGAUAUAUGGAGGAACACCAGUGGCGAAGGCGACUUUCUGGUCUGUAACUGACGCUGAGGCUCGAAAGCGUGGGGAGCAAACAGGAUUAGAUACCCUGGUAGUCCACGCCGUAAACGAUGAGUGCUAAGUGU
rnacentral:rRNA from 1 species